GAAUCAUUGAGGCACAUGCACAUUUAUCUGUGCUCUAUGGUGGAACGGUAUGCUGUGCUCUAUGGUGAUAUUUUAGAAUCUUUGAGGCACAUGCACAUUUAUCUGUGCUCUCUGGUGGAACGGUAUGCUGUGCUCUCUGGUGGAACGGUAUGCUGUGCUCUAUGGUGGAACGGUAUGCUGUGCUCUAUGGUGGAACGGUAUGCUGUGCUCUAUGGUGGAACGGGACGCUGUGCCCUGCGGUGGAACGGAACGGGACGCUGUGCCCUGACUGAUUCAAGUCCUGCAGUUUUUAAGACUCGCUGACCGGUGGUGCUUGGUCUUUUGGUGCAGGGGUGGAUUCGUACACAGGGUUAGUGAUGUUCGGGCUUGGUUCUGAUGGGUUAGCUUCAACUCCUUCAUCCUCCUAGAAAGAAAUUGUAUCCCACAAAUCCGCCCGCUGCGAAUAGGAUGAUGAGGACCAGUGCACCAAUGACCACUCCUGCCUUAUGAGCCGGGUGGAGGGUUGGAGGGGGAAGCGGAGGAGCUUUCAACGGGCCCUGCAGGACAUGGAUGACCCCAUUGGAUGCAAAGAUGUCAUAGUCGAUGACGUACUGAUCGUCGAUGUAUCCCGAGGAGGUCUAAAGCAGAGAGUCCAGUCAUCGUGCAGGUGGCAUGCUCGUGACACCCCCCGUUGUCAUCAGCUACGCAAGGGUCGAUCGGUGUGCACACAAACCCAUCGCCGGAGUAACUUUUGAGACAAGCGCAGCUCACUUUCUCCUCCUUCUGAGUGCACUUAGCAUCCUUCGAACAACCACCAUUCCAGUACUUGCACAUGUCGGCCGCUGCAGAAAAGAGAGGUGAUACCAUCUCCUUCAUAGAAGGGUUUACAGACGCAGGUAUUGUUCUCCAUACAGACAGCUUUCUUAUGGCAAGCGGGACUGCAAACAGGAACAUCAGCUGAAACAGAGUACCUGGAUGUUGUUGCUUUGAAAAGCUCACCUGUGCAGUCUGGUCCAAAAUGUCCGUCCACACACAGCUCGCAUGCUACACCUGUAAAUCCAGCAUCACAGGUGCAGGUGCCAUUUCCUAAAUGAUCCUCAUCACACUUACCAUGGCUACUGCAGGGGGAGCCUGGACCUCCAGGACAUGCUGGAGAACAGGCCACAGACAGAUCUGAGCCCUGUUGAGUUCUUAAAGAACUGCUGCGCAUGAGGUCACUCGGCAGAAUCUAGAAGACACGUACAGGAAGUCCUUCUGCUCCUGGGCUAGAGCGGCCAUAGCGGCAUCUGUGGGCAGGAACAAGGUGACGGGCUGGUAGAUUUUGUCCGUCACUAACUUCAACACAUCUGUGUCCUUUAAACAAACAAUUCAACAUUGAGGUCAUAAGAUGUUCAUCUGAACGCCUGCUUCGAGACAGAAUAAUCAGAAGAAGGGAAGGGAUCCUCUACAAAUCUCUCCAUCUCCGAUAUAGCCAGACCCACAGGUACAGUUUCUCUUUGAGGGUCCUGUCAUGGUACAGCGGGCAUUCCAGUGGCAUCCGCCAUUUAACUGCAUGAACACAAGAGAUGAGAUGCAAAAGCCAGAAAGUGGUUCGGUUUGGAAGGAGAUGAAGGGGAGUGAAAUAUGACAGAAUAGUUCAUUUUUGGUGAACUAUGUAUUAAAACAAAGACAUAACAACAUAAUCAAUAAAACCAAAGAUUAUUCAGACACCUUCAACAUUUCUUACAUUAUCACAGUGUAUUGGAUAUAGUUUAGAAAAUGGUACUAAAAUCUGACAAGAGUCUAAAUUUGUAAUUUGUAAUAAUUUGGUCCCAAAUAUGUCAGCUUACUUUAUUUACAAUAGCGUCCUGCACCCACUUGUAAAAAAUAUCAAUCUGGUGUCUGAAUCAUUUUUGGUUUGACUGUAUUUUAAGGUGACGCAUUA